rnacentral:tRNA from 1 species
GCGAGAGUGGGCCAAUGGUUAAGCUUCGGCCUUGCCAAGGCCGAGAUCCGGGUUCAAUUCCCGGCUCUCGCA